GGGCCCCCUCGCUCCGGGGGUGGGCAGGAGGGAGCGGGGUGCCGGCCGCCCCGGGCAUYCCCCUGCUCCCCUCACCGCGGCUGCCCCGCUCCCCUCUGUGGGGCUUCGCCUCACCCUCGCGAACAUGCUUGAAACGGAAUAACCUUAAUUACGUGCAGCUGCUUUGGCUUAACUGUUCACUGCGAUGUUAAAUCGUUGCUUAUUUUAAAAGCUUUUUUUUUUUUAAUUAGUCCCGUUUUGACUGGUUUCCCUUUUUGGUUAACUUCCCAUGUUUCUGCUUUUCACGAAACAGAAAGAGGCUUUUCCCACCUUGUGGCCUCCUGCCUGCCUGUGAAGAGGAGCUAA
rnacentral:lncRNA from 1 species